GUCCUGUAGCAAAAUGGAUAACGCGUUGGACUUCUAAUUCAAAGGAUGUGAAUUGGAAUCCCACCUGGGAUU